UGAAUACGAGACGCUAAGGCGUCGAAGUAGUGUAUGUCAUACUUCCAAGAAAAGCUUGCACUGUCAUAGAUAAAAAACGCCUGUACCAUAACCGACACAGGUGGGUAGGUAGAGUAUACUAAGGGGCGCGAGAUAACUCUCUCUAAGGAACUCGGCAAAAUAACUCCGUAACUUCGGAAGAAGGAGUGCCUUAUUCGUAAGGUUGCAAUAACAAGAUCCAAGCAACUGUUUAUCAAAAACACAGGUCUCCGCUAAGUCGUAAGACGAUGUAUGGGGGCUGACGCCUGCCCAGUGCCAGAAGGUUAAAGAAGUUGGUUAGCAAUUGCGAAGCUGAUAACUGAAGCCCUGGUGAACGGCGGCCGUAACAAUAACGGUCCUAAGGUAGCGAAAUUCCUUGUCGGGUAAGUUCCGACCCGCACGAAAGGCGUAAUGAUUUGGAUACUGUCUCGGAGAGGGGCUCGGUGAAAUAGACUUGUCUGUGAAGAUGCGGACUACCUGCACCAGGACAGAAAGACCCUAUGAAGCUUUACUGUAACUUGAAAUUGAAAUUGGACUUUAUUCGCGCAGUAUAGGUGGGAGGCGUUGAUUAUAAUCUUGUGGGAUUAUUGGAGCCAUCAGUGAGAUACCACUCUUGUUAUGUUAGAUUUCUAACUUUGAAUCAUUAUCUGGUCAAAGAACAGUUUCAGGCGGGCAGUUUGACUGGGGCGGUCGCCUCCUAAACGGUAACGGAGGCGUACAAAGGUUUCCUCUGAACGGUUAGAAAUCGUAUCUAGAGUGUAAAGGCAUAAGGAAGCUUGACUGUGAGACCUACAAGUCGAGCAGGGACGAAAGUCGGUCUUAGUGAUCUGACGGUACUGAGUGGAAAGGCCGUCACUCAACGGAUAAAAGUUACUCUAGGAUAACAGGCUGAUCUCCCCCAAGAGUUCACAUCGACGGGGAGGUUUGGCACCUGGAUGUCGGCUCAUCGCAUCCUGGGGCGGUAGUACGUCCCAAGGGUUGGGCUGUUCGCCCAUGAAAGCGGUACGCGAGCUGGGUUCAGAACGUCGUGAGACAGUUCGGUCCAUAUCCGGUGUAGGCGUUAGAAUAUUGAGGGGAGCCUUCUUUAGUACGAGAGGACCGAGAAGGACAUACCUCUGGUGUACCAGUUAUCGUGCCAACGGUAAACGCUGGGUAGCUAUGUAUGGAGUGGAUAACCGCUGAAAGCAUCUAAGUGGGAAGCCCACCUCAAGAUAAGUAUUCU
rnacentral:rRNA from 1 species